rnacentral:rRNA from 1 species
CAAUACGGAGCGGCAGACGGGUGAGUAACGCGUGGGAACGUGCCCUUCGGUUCGGAAUAACUCAGGGAAACUUGAGCUAAUACCGGAUACGUCCGAAAGGAGAAAGAUUUAUCGCCGAAGGAUCGGCCCGCGUAAGAUUAGCUAGUUGGUGAGGUAACGGCUCACCAAGGCUAUGAUCUUUAGCUGGUCUGAGAGGACGAUCAGCCACACUGGGACUGAGACACGGCCCAGACUCCUACGGGAGGCAGCAGUGGGGAAUAUUGGACAAUGGGCGCAAGCCUGAUCCAGCCAUGCCGCGUGAAUGAUGAAGGCCUUCGGG